rnacentral:rRNA from 1 species
UGGGGAAUAUUGGACAAUGGGGGGAACCCUGAUCCAGCCAUGCCGCGUGUGUGAAGAAGUCCUUAUGUUUGUAAAGCACUUUAAGCGAGGAGGAGGGUACUGGUAUUAAUACUACCAGGUACUGGACGUUACUCGCAGAAUAAGCACCGGCUAACUCUGUGCCAGCAGCCGCGGUAAUACAGAGGGCGCGAGCGUUAAUCGGAUUUACUGGGCGUAAAGCGUGCGUAGGCGGCUAAUUGAGUCGGAUGUGAAAUCCCCGAGCUUAACUUGGGAAUUGCAUUCGAUACUGGUUAGCUAGAGUGUGGGAGAGGAUGGUAGAAUUCCAGGUGUAGCGGUGAAAUGCGUAGAGAUCUGGAGGAAUACCGAUGGCGAAGGCAGCCAUCUGGCCUAACACUGACGCUGAGGUACGAAAGCAUGGGGAGCAAACAGG